AACUCUAUAAAUAGGACCUAGUACCCAGCCAUUAUUCACCUUUUACUCUAAGUUCAGAGGCUGCAAGUUGCUAGGUGAGUGUGAGAGUGUAAACACUUGGGUGGGGAAAUCAUAAGCUUAUCAAACACUUGGGAAGUAAGGUUCUAUAGUAUUUCGGUUCGAGGUUUAGAUUGGUCUACAAGUCUUCAAGGAAAUCUAAGAACUUGCACAUAUGUUUUUGGGGUGUUCCAAAGUCCCAGCGCAGUCCUCUUAUUCCGGUAUUUUGGAAAAUAGCUAUAGUGGCGGUAAGAUUCGUGGAUGCUUGGGGAAUGUGUAUCGGUGGUUAAUGGAGUCAAGGAGUCGAGAGUUCGAUUUUCGAGGAUGUAGUCCUAUUUUAUGGUUUUACGUGUAUUUUUCUGCACUUUCUAUGUAACUUCUUUUAUUUUAAAUUAUGUUUUGUUUUUAAGACAAUGGGAUCCCAUAUCCUACUUGAUAUUUUA